ACACCUAAAAUUAAUAUUUUACUGGACAAUAAUUGUCUAGAAACCCGCCUGUCAGAAACCCGUCAAUUAACGGGUCGUGCGGGCCGAGCCCGUUGGAGCCCGUCGGAACCUGUUAAGACAAAAAAAAUUCAUAAAAGAAUAAAAAGUAAAGGAAGAGGUUAGGUUAGAAUGGGUUUGUGUUUGCCAUGUUGGUGUUCGACUCUGGUGUUUCUGACUUUCUUCACAAUCAGAAACUGAUCGAUCUCCUACUCGGAAGUCUUUGAGAUCGAAGAAACUGGAUUCAACACUUCGACUCUGAUAAGAUGAGUUUGCAUGAUGAGUCUUAGGGUUUAUCUUUGGGUGAAGAAGAAAAUGUAGGAGGUUCUUUACCUAGCAGAAGUCAAGCGGGAGGUGUGACAAUUAAUAAGAGAAGGAAGACGUCUGCAUGUUGGACCGGUCUGAGGAGGCUCGACUCUAAUGUUUUCAUGCGUCCGCAACUGUACAUUCC